AUUUCAUGAAUUGUCUGAUUUUUCUGUAUCAGAUUUAAAGCAGAAUAAUGUGGGACAGAAAGAAAGAAGAAACCGGAGAGUCUUAGGUAAUAUCGGCAAUCUUGCUCCAACUAUUGUUGUCGAAACUGGAAGCACCGACUCAGAUAUCUCGCCCCAUCACAAGAAAUUAUUGUGCCCAAUUGGCUGCAAAUGCGCAAGGAGCAGCAGGCAAGAAUGUUAAGAUACAAAAACCACAAUCAGAAACUAACAAUGGUGAAGAAGAAGUAUUGAAAAAUCAAGAAAAAACUCCAAGAAGAAGAGCGAAAAAGCCUUCAAAGUCGCUAACCGCAGUUCUCUCUGCGCGUAGUAAAGUUGGUUGUGGGAUCACAUCAAAACCUAAUGAUCCAGUGGUUAACAUAGACGAAUCCAGCAUCAAUAAUGAACUGGCUGAAGUUGAAUACGUUGAAGACAUUUACAAGUUCUACAAACUCUCAGAAACCGAAGGCGGGUUACAGGAUUACAUGAACUCACAGCCGGAACUUAAUGAUAAAAUGAGAGGUAUUUUGAUAGAUUGGUUGAUUGAAGUUCACCGAAAGUUCAACAUGAUGCCGGAGAGUCUUUACCUCACUAUCAACAUUGUGGACCGUUAUCUUUCCGUGAGAAA